rnacentral:rRNA from 1 species
AGUGGAUGGGGAGCAACCUAGUUGUGCGUGUGUAAAGGUAGUGCCAAGAAAAGCGGUGAUCAUGAUGAAAAUCAAUUCCCGGUACCCGAAACCGACACAGGUGGGCAAGUAGAGAAUACUAAGGGGCGCGAGGUAACUCUCUCCAAGGAACUCGGCAAAAUGACCCCGUAACUUAGGGAGAAGGGGUGCCACCGAGAGGUGGUCGCAGUGAAGAGGCCCAGGCGACUGUUUAGCAAAAACAUAGGUCUCUGCAAACUCGAAAGAGGAGGUAUAGGGGCUGACGCCUGCCCAGUGCCGGAAGGUUAAAGAAGUUGGUCAUCUUCGGAGAAGCUCUUGAUCGAAGCCCCGGUAAACGGCGGCCGCAACUAUAACGGUCCUAAGGUAGCGAAAUUCCUUGUCGGGUAAGUUCCGACCCGCACGAAAGGCGUAACGAUCUGGGCGCUGUCUCGGAGAGAGGCUCGGCGAAAUAGGAUUGUCUGUGAAGAUACGGACUACCUGCAUUUGGACAGAAAGACCCUAUGAAGCUUUACUAUAGCUUGGAAUUGUGUUCGGGCUUCCUGUGCGCAGGAUAGGUGGGAGGCGUAGAAGGUAUUCUUGUGGGGAUACUGGAGCCAACGGUGAGAUACCACUCUCAGGAGGCUAGAAUUCUAACUUAAUUAAGGACAGUUUCAGGUGGGUAGUUUGACUGGGGCGGUCGCCUCCAAAAAGGUAACGGAGGCGUACAAAGGUUCCCUCAGACUGGUUGGAAAUCAGUCGCAGAGUGCAAAGGCAGAAGGGAGCUUGACUGCGAGAAGUACAGUUCGAGCAGGGUGGAAACACGGUCUUAGUGAUCCGACGGUGCUGUGUGAAGGGCCGUCGCUCAACGGAUAAAAGUUACUCUAGGAUAACAGGCCGAUCUCCCCCAAGAGUUCACAUCGACGGGGAGGUUUGGCACCUCGAUGUCGGCUCAUCGCAACCUGGGGCGGAAGUACGUCCCAAGGGUUGGGCUGUUCGCCCAUUAAAGCGGUACGUGAGCUGGGUUCAGAACGUCGUGAGACAGUUCGGUCCAUAUCCGAUGUAGGCGUGAGAAUAUUGAGAGGAGCCUUCCUUAGUACGAGAGGACCGGGAAGGACGCACCGCUGGUGUACCUGUUAUGAUGCCAAUUGUAAACGCAGGGUAGCCAAGAGCGGAGAGGAUAACCGCUGAAAGCAUCUAAGUGGGAAGCCCACCUCAAGAUGAGUAUUCUGGUGUAAGGUCACGGGAAGACGACCCGUAAAUAGGCACGAGGUGGAAGUGCAGAGAUGUAUGAAGCCGAAGUGUACUAAUAGACCGUCGGCUUGAC